AAGGUAGGUUAGAAAAGUGGCUGCUUCUCCAACGUAAUGUUGGAGGGGAGGAAAGUCCGGGCUCCAAAGGGUAAGCGUAUCCUGAUAAUCUCAGGACAUCCUUGAAGCCCGAAAUUUGCAUAAAGAAAAAAGUUUUUAGGUUUUUAAAAAGAUACGGGUUAACAAAACCGUUCUUCAUGCAAAAUUCGGGUAACAGGGGUUGGAUUAUCCCGAUGAUUUCCGACGAUACGUCGGGGCUGUCGGGAUCCCGACUGAAGCGUAAGCGAACGUCGGGAGAGCCACAGAGACGAGUCUGUAACCGCUGAAGCACUGAAGGAUGUUUUAUAGAUAGGUCUAUUGUUUAAAAGGUGAUUCAGUGUUUCAGUGGUUGCAGGGUGAAACGCGGCAAUCUCUACGCGGAGUAAGGCCAAAUAGGUCCUGCCAUAAGAGCGGCCCGCUUCUAGUCUUCAAUCAAAUGAAGGCAGGCAGGAUGGGUAGGCUGCUAGAGUCCCCGCGGCAACGCAGGGACCAAGAGAAAUAGCCACUACAUACAGAACCCGGCUUACAAAAACCUACCUUAACA
rfam:Omnitrophica WOR_2 bacterium GWF2_43_52 gwf2_scaffold_315, whole genome shotgun sequence.